UGGGGAAUAUUGGACAAUGGGCGCAAGCCUGAUCCAGCCAUGCCGCGUGAGUGAUGAAGGCCUUAGGGUUGUAAAGCUCUUUCACCCGGGACGAUAAUGACGGUACCGGGAGAAGAAGCCCCGGCUAACUUCGUGCCAGCAGCCGCGGUAAUACGAAGGGGGCUAGCGUUGUUCGGAAUCACUGGGCGUAAAGCGCACGUAGGCGGACCGUUAAGUCGGGGGUGAAAUCCUGGGGCUCAACCCCAGAACAGCCCUCGAUACUGGCGGUCUCGAGUCCGGAAGAGGUGAGUGGAACUGCCAGUGUAGAGGUGAAAUUCGUAGAUAUUGGCAAGAACACCAGUGGCGAAGGCGGCUCACUGGUCCGGUACUGACGCUGAGGUGCGAAAGCGUGGGGAGCAAACAGG
rnacentral:rRNA from 1 species